CCUACGGGAGGCAGCAGUGGGGAAUAUUGCACAAUGGGGGAAACCCUGAUGCAGCGACGCCGCGUGAAGGAAGAAGUAUUUCGGUAUGUAAACUUCUAUCAGCAGGGAAGAAAAUGACGGUACCUGACUAAGAAGUCCCGGCUAACUACGUGCCAGCAGCCGCGGUAAUACGUAGGGGGCAAGCGUUAUCCGGAUUUACUGGGUGUAAAGGGAGCGUAGGCGGUGCAGCAAGUCAGAAGUGAAAGCCCGGGGCUCAACUCCGGGACUGCUCUGGAAACUGUAAAGCUGGAGUGCGGGAGGGGCAG
rnacentral:rRNA from 1 species